UGGGGAAUUUUGGACAAUGGGCGAAAGCCUGAUCCAGCAAUGCCGCGUGUGUGAAGAAGGCCUUCGGGUUGUAAAGCACUUUUGUCCGGAAAGAAAUCCUUGGCUCUAAUACAGUCGGGGGAUGACGGUACCGGAAGAAUAAGCACCGGCUAACUACGUGCCAGCAGCCGCGGUAAUACGUAGGGUGCAAGCGUUAAUCGGAAUUACUGGGCGUAAAGCGUGCGCAGGCGGUUUGCUAAGACCGAUGUGAAAUCCCCGGGCUCAACCUGGGAACUGCAUUGGUGACUGGCAGGCUAGAGUAUGGCAGAGGGGGGUAGAAUUCCACGUGUAGCAGUGAAAUGCGUAGAGAUGUGGAGGAAUACCGAUGGCGAAGGCAGCCCCCUGGGCCAAUACUGACGCUCAUGCACGAAAGCGUGGGGAGCAAACAGGAUUAGAUACCCUGGUAGUCCCACGCCUAAAACGAUGUCAACUAGUUGUUGGGGAUUCAUUUCCUUAGUAACGUAGCUAACGCGUGAAGUUGACCGCCUGGGGAGUACGGUCG
rnacentral:rRNA from 1 species